rnacentral:misc_RNA from 1 species
UUUCCGUAGGUGAACCUGCGGAAGGAUCAUCAACAAAACAAAAUUCAAAACAAAAAACAAACAACACCAAUUUCAUUCCGAAACUAUAUUGGAAUGUUUUUUUAAUGGGGAUGUGGAGAUUUCUAAUUUUUUUAAUUAGAUUUUUCUCAUGCCCCAUCAUUUAAAACUCCUAAAAAAACAAAUUAAAAAAUUAUUCCAAAAAAUUUUAAAAUAUAAAAAUAGAGACAACUUUUAACAAUGGAUCUCUUGGCUCUC